AACGAACGCUGGCGGCAUGCCUAACACAUGCAAGUCGAACGGGAUCCUAGCUUGCUAGGUGAGAGUGGCGGACGGGUGAGUAACACGUGGGAAUCUGCCUUUUGGUUCGGGAUAACCGCGGGAAACUGCGGCUAAUACCGAAUGCCCUCGAGAGAGGAAAGAUUUAUCGCCAGAAGAGGAGCCCGCGUCCGAUUAGGUAGUUGGUGGGGUAAAGCCUACCAAGCCGACGAUCGGUAGCUGGUCUGAGAGGAUGAUCAGCCACACUGGGACUGAGAUACGGCCCAGACUCCUACGGGAGGCAGCAGUGGGGAAUAUUGGACAAUGGGGGCAACCCUGAUCCAGCAAUGCCGCGUGAGUGAUGAAGGCCUUAGGGUUGUAAAGCUCUUUGCCAGGGAGAUGAUGACUGUACCUGGAGAAUAAGCCCCGGCUAACUUCGUGCCAGCAGCCAC
rnacentral:rRNA from 1 species